UUAACGACCAUCUCUACUGUAGGUAGUUAGCUAACUCAUAUAUUAACAUCGAACUAAAUGGGAGCAAGUUAACUAAAUGUAAUUCUACAGAAACUAAUUUGAUUUGACCAAACACUCAUGAUGCUGCGUUUUCAUGCAUACUUGGUAAGCAAGACUGGAGACACCGUCUAAUAGUUGACUAUAAGCAACACUACACAGUCAGUAUAGCUUGUUUGCUAACCACCCAGCUAGCAACUCAGCUAGUGAGGGUAAGAAUAUGCAAAUAACUUCCUGGACAAAUAAAUACAUGGAUUUACACUCGCUGAUUCUAUGCACAAGGAGAGGGGACAUGCAAGUUCUAGAUUGAGGCCUCCAGCAUGCAGAUCCUUGGUUGUGAACCUUUAUGGCGUCCAGGAAAAUGGGCUCACCGCACCAGGGAUCUGCGUUCAAAAAAUAAAAAACCUUGAAAGAGUCAGAGGUCGGAGGUUACGGGAGCGAGGUGUGAUGACCCCACCCCAGCAGGAACUGUUCUCUAUAGAAAUGCAAUUCUUUCCACAGUGUGGCCCAAUCACUGGUGGGUUCGCACUGGGUUCCAGGUCUUCCCACUGCUGAACAGCGAUUGGAGAAAAAAAGUAAUCUCAGAGGGUUUGAAAAGAUUUGGGCUCCCUUUGUCAACAUCAAACUUAAAAUUUAGGUUUGGGAAGAGGGAUUUGUGGAAUGACAUAUUAUGCCAAAUAUUUAGCCAAGUUGCUAUAUAUAUAUAUACUUCCAAGGCAAACUGCAAGUAAAGUACAUGUGUCACUGUAUGUUAAUACUGAGCAAUAUUCCUUUGCAAUUUAUCAAUAUCUCCAAAGCAUGUUCAGUGUAUCAUCAGUGACAUUUAUGAGUCAGACAAGUGAGUUGAGAGGACUGUAUUGUACAGAAAAUAGCCUGAUGAAAACUACAGUUGAACACGGUUCUUAGGCCAUACACAAAUUGACUUGAGGACAUUGUCAUGUUUAUUACCAAUGUUACAAUUUGAGAGAAGAAGCAAUAAAUAAAUGAGAGCACAGCA